UGGACCAAAGAUGAAAAUGUAUCACAAACCAAAAAUUUUGAUUAUUCCAACUCAAUGCACCUGAGGUCAAUA
rnacentral:snoRNA from 1 species